UUAAGCGACUAAGCGUACACGGUGGAUGCCCUGGCAGUCAGAGGCGAUGAAGGGCGUGCUAAUCUGCGAUAAGCGCCGGUAAGGUGAUAUGAACCGUUAUAACCGGCGAUACCCGAAUGGGGAAACCCAGUGUGACUCGUCACACUAUCAUUAACUGAAUCCAUAGGUUAAUGAGGCGAACCGGGGGAACUGAAACAUCUAAGUACCCCGAGGAAAAGAAAUCAACCGAGAUUCCCCCAGUAGCGGCGAGCGAACGGGGAGGAGCCCAGAGCCUGAAUCAGCAUGUGUGUUAGUGGAAGCGUCUGGAAAGGCGCGCGAUACAGGGUGACAGCCCCGUACACAAAAGCGCAUGUGCUGUGAGCUCGAUGAGUAGGGCGGGACACGUGGUAUCCUGUCUGAAUAUGGGGGGACCAUCCUCCAAGGCUAAAUACUCCUGACUGACCGAUAGUGAACCAGUACCGUGAGGGAAAGGCGAAAAGAACCCCGGCGAGGGGAGUGAAAAAGAACCUGAAACCGUGUACGUACAAGCAGUGGGAGCCCCACCACCAAAGCGUUUCGCUUUGUGUGGUGCACAAAGAAGCGUAACGACAGCACUGAAUGACGGUUAACGGAGCGCAAGCGACGUUCAACAUACAAAGUCAAGCAGUGGAGCGCUUUGGGGUGGGGUGACUGCGUACCUUUUGUAUAAUGGGUCAGCGACUUAUAUUCUGUAGCAAGGUUAACCGAAUAGGGGAGCCGGAGGGAAACCGAGUCUUAAUUGGGCGUUAAGUUGCAGGGUAUAGACCCGAAACCCGGUGAUCUAGCCAUGGGCAGGUUGAAGGUUGGGUAACACUAACUGGAGGACCGAACCGACUAAUGUUGAAAAAUUAGCGGAUGACCUGUGGCUGGGGGUGAAAGGCCAAUCAAACCGGGAGAUAGCUGGUUCUCCCCGAAAGCUAUUUAGGUAGCGCCUCGUGAAUUCAUCUCCGGGGGUAGAGCACUGUUUCGGCUAGGGGGCCAUCCCGGCUUACCAACCCGAUGCAAACUGCGAAUACCGGAGAAUGUUAUCACGGGAGACACACGGCGGGUGCUAACGUCCGUCGUGAAGAGGGAAACAACCCAGACCGCCAGCUAAGGUCCCAAAGUCAUGGUUAAGUGGGAAACGAUGUGGGAAGGCCCAGACAGCCAGGAUGUUGGCUUAGAAGCAGCCAUCAUUUAAAGAAAGCGUAAUAGCUCACUGGUCGAGUCGGCCUGCGCGGAAGAUGUAACGGGGCUAAACCAUGCACCGAAGCUGCGGCAGCGACGCUUAUGCGUUGUUGGGUAGGGGAGCGUUCUGUAAGCCUGUGAAGGUGGCCUGUGAGGGUUGCUGGAGGUAUCAGAAGUGCGAAUGCUGACAUAAGUAACGAUAAAGCGGGUGAAAAGCCCGCUCGCCGGAAGACCAAGGGUUCCUGUCCAACGUUAAUCGGGGCAGGGUGAGUCGACCCCUAAGGCGAGGCCGAAAGGCGUAGUCGAUGGGAAACGGGUUAAUAUUCCCGUACUUGGUGUUACUGCGAAGGGGGGACGGAGAAGGCUAUGUUGGCCGGGCGACGGUUGUCCCGGUUUAAGCGUGUAGGUGUGUGUUCCAGGUAAAUCCGGUUCACUUUAACACUGAGGCGUGAUGACGAGGCACUACGGUGCUGAAGCAACAAAUGCCCUGCUUCCAGGAAAAGCCUCUAAGCAUCAGGUAACAUCAAAUCGUACCCCAAACCGACACAGGUGGUCAGGUAGAGAAUACCAAGGCGCUUGAGAGAACUCGGGUGAAGGAACUAGGCAAAAUGGUGCCGUAACUUCGGGAGAAGGCACGCUGACANGUAGGUGAAGUGAUUUACUCAUGGAGCUGAAGUCAGUCGAAGAUACCAGCUGGCUGCAACUGUUUAUUAAAAACACAGCACUGUGCAAACACGAAAGUGGACGUAUACGGUGUGACGCCUGCCCGGUGCCGGAAGGUUAAUUGAUGGGGUCAGCGCAAGCGAAGCUCCUGAUCGAAGCCCCGGUAAACGGCGGCCGUAACUAUAACGGUCCUAAGGUAGCGAAAUUCCUUGUCGGGUAAGUUCCGACCUGCACGAAUGGCGUAAUGAUGGCCAGGCUGUCUCCACCCGAGACUCAGUGAAAUUGAACUCGCUGUGAAGAUGCAGUGUACCCGCGGCAAGACGGAAAGACCCCGUGAACCUUUACUAUAGCUUGACACUGAACAUUGAGCCUUGAUGUGUAGGAUAGGUGGGAGGCUUUGAAGUGUGGACGCCAGUCUGCAUGGAGCCGACCUUGAAAUACCACCCUUUAAUGUUUGAUGUUCUAACGUGGACCCGUGAUCCGGGUUGCGGACAGUGUCUGGUGGGUAGUUUGACUGGGGCGGUCUCCUCCUAAAGAGUAACGGAGGAGCACGAAGGUUGGCUAAUCCUGGUCGGACAUCAGGAGGUUAGUGCAAUGGCAUAAGCCAGCUUGACUGCGAGCGUGACGGCGCGAGCAGGUGCGAAAGCAGGUCAUAGUGAUCCGGUGGUUCUGAAUGGAAGGGCCAUCGCUCAACGGAUAAAAGGUACUCCGGGGAUAACAGGCUGAUACCGCCCAAGAGUUCAUAUCGACGGCGGUGUUUGGCACCUCGAUGUCGGCUCAUCACAUCCUGGGGCUGAAGUAGGUCCCAAGGGUAUGGCUGUUCGCCAUUUAAAGUGGUACGCGAGCUGGGUUUAGAACGUCGUGAGACAGUUCGGUCCCUAUCUGCCGUGGGCGCUGGAGAACUGAGGGGGGCUGCUCCUAGUACGAGAGGACCGGAGUGGACGCAUCACUGGUGUUCGGGUUGUCAUGCCAAUGGCACUGCCCGGUAGCUAAAUGCGGAAGAGAUAAGUGCUGAAAGCAUCUAAGCACGAAACUUGCCCCGAGAUGAGUUCUCCCUGAGACUUAGAGUCUCCUGAAGGAACGUUGAAGACGACGACGUUGAUAGGCCGGGUGUGUAAGCGCAGCGAUGCGUUGAGCUAACCGGUACUAAUGAACCGUGAGGCUUAACCUU
rnacentral:rRNA from 1 species